CAANGUAUGCUUUGGAAACUGUUAGACUUGAGUGCAGAAGGGGAGAGUGGAAUUCCAUGUGUAGCGGUGAAAUGCGUAGAUAUAUGGAGGAACACCGGUGGCGAAAGCGGCUCUNUGGUCUGUCACUGACGCUGAGGCUCGAAAGCGUGGGUAGCGAACAGGAUUAGAUACCCUGGUAGUNCACGCCGUAAACGCUGAGUGCUAGGUGUUAGGUCCUUUCCGGGACUUAGUGCCGACGCUAACGCAUUAAGCACUCCGCCUGGGGAGUACGACCGCAAGGUUGAAACUCAAAGGAAUUGACGGGGGCCCGCACAAGCGGUGGAGCAUGUGGCUUAAUUCGAAGCAACGCGAAGAACCUUACCAGGUCUUGACAUCCCGAUGCCCGCUCUAGAGAUAGAGUUUUACUUUUUGUACAUCGGAGACAGGUGGUGCAUGGUUGUCGUCAGCUCGUGUCGUGAGAUGUUGGGUUAAGUCCCGCAACGAGCGCAACCCUUAUUGUUAGUUGCCAUCAUUAAGUUGGGCACUCUAGCGAGACUGCCGGUAAUAAACCGGAGGAAGGUGGGGAUGACGUCAAAUCAUCAUGCCCCUUAUGACCUGGGCUACACACGUGCUACAAUGGUUGGUACAACGAGUCGCAAGCCGGUGACGGCAAGCUAAUCUCUGAAAGCCAAUCUCAGUUCGGAUUGUAGGCUGCAACUCGCCUACAUGAAGUCGGAAUCGCUAGUAAUCGCGGAUCAGCACGCCGCGGUGAAUACGUUCCCGGGCCUUGUACAC
rnacentral:rRNA from 1 species